GUGCCAGCAGCCGCGGUAAUACAGAGGGGGCAAGCGUUGUUCGGAAUUACUGGGCGUAAAGGGCGCGUAGGCGGCCCUCUAAGUCGAACGUGAAAUCCCUGGGCUCAACCCAGGAACUGCGUCCGAGACUGGGGGGCUAGAAUCCGGGAGAGGGAUGUGGAAUUCCAGGUGUAGCGGUGAAAUGCGUAGAUAUCUGGAGGAACAUCGGUGGCGAAGGCGGCAUCCUGGACCGGUAUUGACGCUGAGGCGCGAAAGCCAGGGGAGCAAACGGGAUUAGAAACCCCCGUAGUCC
rnacentral:rRNA from 1 species